UAUGCUACCUCCCAUUCCUUAUAAUUCCUUUAUCUUACAUGUUGAAAGGCCCCAAAACCCACAAUAACUUUUCUGGUGUCACAGAACUAGUAAGAAAAAGUAGAUUGUUACCUGCAUCUGUGAUCUCACACCUGAGGCCCUGGCUGCAUUCAGGUCUUUCCAGGGAACUGAGAAGGGCUGUACUUGCAUAACUGUGCACAGGUAAAGAGUUGACAUGCAGGGAUAGU
rnacentral:lncRNA from 1 species